UACGUAGGGCGCAAGCGUUGUCCGGAAUUAUUGGGCGUAAAGGGCGCGUAGGCGGCUUGAUAAGUCAAAGGUGAAAUCCCUCGGCUCAACUGAGGAACUGCCUUUGAAACUGUCAGACUUGAGGCCGGGAGGGGGUAGCGGAAUUCCCAGUGUAGCGGUGAAAUGCGUAGAUACUGGGAGGAACACCGGUGGCGAAGGCGGCUACCUGGACCGGUUCUGACGCUGAUGCGCGAAAGCGUGGGUAGCAAACAGG
rnacentral:rRNA from 1 species